rnacentral:Y_RNA from 1 species
GGUUGGUCUGAGUGCAUUGGUGUUUACAACUAAUUGAUCACAACCAGUUACAGAUUCCUUUGUUCCUUCUCCACUCCCACUGCUUCACUUUACCAGCUUUUA